rnacentral:rRNA from 1 species
GACGAACGCUGGCGGCGUGCUUAACACAUGCAAGUCGAACGAAGUGGCGGACGGGUGAGUAACGCGUAAUCAACCUGCCCUUCAGAGGGGGACAACAGUUGGAAACGACUGCUAAUACCGCAUACUGAAGGGGGGGAUUGCGUCGGAUUAGCUAGUUGGAGGGGUAACGGCCCCCCAAGGCGAUGAUCAGUAGCCGGUCUGGGGGGAUGAACGGGCAAAUUGGGACUGGGGAACGGCCCAGACUCCUAAGGGGGGCAGCAGGGGGGGAUCUUCCGCAAUGGAGGGAAGGCUGACGGAGCAACGCCGCGGUAGUGAUGAAGGCCUUCGGGUUGUAAAGCUAUGUUAAUCGGGACGCGGUACCGGAAGAGAAAGCCACGGCUAACUACGUGCCAGCAGCCGCGGUAAUUC